CCUACGGGUGGCAGCAGUGAGGAAUAUUGGUCAAUGGACGCAAGUCUGAACCAGCCAUGCAGCGUGCAGGAAGACGGCCCUAUGAGUUGUAAACUGCUUUUGUACGAGGGUAAACGCAGAUACGCGUAUCUGUCUGAAAGUAUCGUACGAAUAAGGAUCGGCUAACUCCGUGCCAGCAGCCGCGGUAAUACGGAGGAUUCAAGCGUUAUCCGGAUUUAUUGGGGUUAAAGGGUGCGUAGGCGGUCGGAUAAGUUAGAGGUGAAAUCCCGAGGCUCAACUUCGGAAUUGCCGCUGAUACUGGUCGGCUUGAGAGUAGUUGCGGUAGGCGGAAUGUAUGGUGUAGCGGUGAAAUGCUUAGAGAUCAUACAGAACACCGAUUGCGAAGGCAGCUUACCAAGCUACUUCUGACGUUGAGGCACGAAGGCGUGGGGAGCAAACAGGAUUAGAUACCCUUGUAGUC
rnacentral:rRNA from 1 species